rnacentral:rRNA from 1 species
GGGUGCUUGCACCUGGUGGCGAGUGGCGAACGGGUGAGUAAUGCGUCGGAACGUACCGAGUAAUGGGGGAUAACGCAGCGAAAGUUGUGCUAAUACCGCAUACGCCCUGAAGGGGAAAGUGGGGGACCGCAAGGCCUCACGUUAUUCGAGCGGCCGACGUCUGAUUAGCUAGUUGGUGGGGUAAAGGCCUACCAAGGCGACGAUCAGUAGCGGGUCUGAGAGGAUGAUCCGCCACACUGGGACUGAGACACGGCCCAGACUCCUACGGGAGGCAGCAGUGGGGAAUUUUGGACAAUGGGGGCAACCCUGAUCCAGCCAUUCCGCGUGAGUGAAGAAGGCCUUCGGGUUGUAAAGCUCUUUCAGCUGGAACGAAACGGUACGCGCUAACAUCGUGUGCUAAUGACGGUACCGGCAGAAGAAGCACCGGCUAACUACGUGCCAGCAGCCGCGGUAAUACGUAGGGUGCGAGCGUUAAUCGGAAUUACUGGGCGUAAAGCGUGCGCAGGCGGAUUGUUAAGCAAGACGUGAAAUCCCCGGGCUUAACCUGGGAAUGGCGUUUUGAACUGGCAGUCUAGAGUGCGUCAGAGGGGGGUGGAAUUCCACGUGUAGCAGUGAAAUGCGUAGAGAUGUGGAGGAACACCGAUGGCGAAGGCAGCCCCCUGGGAUGACACUGACGCUCAUGUACGAAAGCGUGGGUAGCAAACAGGAUUAGAUACCCUGGUAGUCCACGCCCUAAACGAUGUCAACUGGUUGUUGGGGGAGUGAAAUCCCUUAGUAACGAAGCUAACGCGU